rnacentral:lncRNA from 1 species
AAGACUUUUGCCACGUGCCGCAAGCCUAUGCCGAUAAGAGAUCCCCACAACUCGUGUCUCCGUUGCUUGGGGGAAGCACACCAAAAAGAGCGCUGCAAGAUCUGUAAGGCCUUCAAGCCCAGGACUAAGAAAGAGAGAGACUUUCGCCUUAAGCAGCUGCUCAUAGAGGCUGCAUUACAGCCCUCCUCUUCGGCACAGCAGGCCGCGGCACCGUCAACUUCGGUGCGGAGUGCCCCGGCAUCGGUUCGUGAUCCGGCACUGGCGGGGCACCCUAAGCCUACGGCACCGACACAGCAGGACCGCCCCCGGCACCGGUCAUCUUCGCCAGCAAAAUCGAAGGGCCAACCCAAGGCCCGAGGAUGCUCCCCACAUAAGAGGGCAGCGCCCACGAAGACCUCAAGUGCGCCUAAGGGCGUGGCGGCCCCAGGACAGAUCUCAGUGCCAGUGGCUCCGGCACCGAAAGGCCCGUCGAGCCCCGGGAUAGGCGCAUCGAGUGAGGAGGAAGGGCUGGAGGAGCUUUUGGAACAGCCCUCCACCCCGGACACGUUUGAGGCAGCAAAGGACCUCAUCGAAUUGUCCGCUGAGGGCCCCCUCCAAGCCAAGGACAAUCCGCUGAGACUGCCAUCCAGAGGCAAGCUAGCAAUGGUGCGCUCAUCACGGUCACCAUCUCGGCACCAUUCACGGCGCCGAUCCCGGUCGAGCUCCGCCUCGGUGGACUCCCGGCUACCCUCGGUACAGAGGGCUGCACAGCCUUCGGGCCCGAAUAAGUGCCCGGCACCGACCCAGCAGUCCUACUCGAGUAGGCACCGGGACGUGUCAGCCACGCAAUCCCCGAGACUGACCACUCGCAGUCGUUCCUGGUCCCGAGGUCACCAGUACCGGUCCAGGUCAGCAAGAGGCUACUCCCGGUCCUGGUCACGGAGGCACUACUCUCCGACCCCAGACCGGCACCAUCCCACGGCACCACCGUGGCCAUCCAGGUCACCGUCCGUGGUUUCGGAGGCAGACUCAGCCCAGUCCAGCAGAUUUAACCACAGGGCACCGACCAGUAGGGAACACGAAGCCGCUUGGCACCCACAGUGGGGCCAGCCAGGACAAUGGCCAUUCUGGACCCCUUGGGCCUACCACCAGCAAGGCCCCUCGCCCAGGACCUCGCGAUCUGGCCCCUCAGGACACCGGUCACGCUCCCCGCAGGUGCGCCCCUCCUCUCGGAAGGAGGUCACAGUCUCCAGACCACCGGAGCGAGAAAGAGCCUACUCGGCACCAAGCCCAGCACCGUCUCAGAUACGACAGACCCCAGAGGAGAGCCCAGUCGGUGAGGAGUUGCAGGAAGAGGAGGACGCUCAGAAGGCCCUAACCUCUUCCUCCUCACCAGAUGAAGCCGUGGAGGACACGAUAGUGUCCAGCCCUCCUCCGAUUAACCAUCGGG